rnacentral:rRNA from 1 species
UAUUAUUAUUAUAUGAAGAAUAUUAAUUCGGUUCUCGUCCGAUCACCGAAGUUAAGCAACGUCGGGCGCGGUUAGUACUUGGAUGGGUGACCGCUUGGGAACACCGCGUGCCGUUGUCU